UUCGGACUACAUAAUUAGGUUUUUAUGUCGUCAAAUUAUCAAUUUUUACAUAACUUGUGUUAAUUUUCUUUUGUUUUUAGUUAUAGACCCGUUUUGAAGCAAUUGGAAAAGAAAAUAAUCAAUUGGCUAUUACAUUGAAUUUGUAGACAAAAUCUCGCGGAAUAAAAGAUGGAGGAUCAAAAUUGAGGAGAAAAUGAAGAGAAUGACUAACUUGCAUUACACGAAAGAAUUGAGUACACAAAACUUAUUGGACUUGGGCUUCUAAUUUGUAUACAGAAUAGAGGCUUUAUUGUUUAGGUAUAUGUACACUUGCAGCCGAGAAAAGCUGGGAGGAGAAGGCAAAAUUCAUAAACACAUAGACAGAAAACGGCGAGAGAGAGGCUGCCGUGGGGAAAAUUGGAAUCCCUUUUGGGGAUUAUUCUUAUAAACGAGUCAGAUGGCCGGGGGCUGAAUCGAAGUGCUGAAUUGGUAUCGUCGGCCAGCAGCUGGGGGUGAAUUAGUGGAUUGCAAAGAUUGAAUUAAAUACAUAUACACACCCCCAAGAAGCCAACAUUUGGAAGAGAUUAGAGACACAGAAAACGGCAGAUUGACGACGGCUGGAAUUAAUAAAUUUGGAAGCUGAAUUGAUUAUAUUAUUUACAAAAUAAUUGAAGUGGGCGGCAGCUUUGGACUCUAGUAUUGUAUUACAAAAGUGAGGGGCCUAAUUGGAAUAAUAUAUAUACUAGACAGAGGACAGCAAACACGAGACGGAGACGGACGGAAGGCAGCGGCUUAAAGGAAAAAUUUCAGAUUACUCUUGGAAGGAACUUUGAUGUCAAUCACGUUCCGUCAAUUAUUGGUGAUGUCAUUCCACUUUUAUUUAAUUAAUUCCACCGCUACGUUAGAUUAGAUUAUUUUUGUGCUAGGAAAACGAUGAACUUUGUCAUAUGAAUUUUUAAUCUCUAGUUUUACAUUUUUGACAUUAAAACAUGCGUUUGGAAUUUGAAUGAUUUAUAUGCACUUAUUUUCUCCAUAAUUAUUGUGCACGUAAUUUGUGUGAGUUUGGUGGCUUUUUCUUGCAUUCGAGAGAAGUGGAAUAGGUUCGAUGGGGUAUAAAUCAUCGUAG
rnacentral:lncRNA from 1 species